rnacentral:rRNA from 1 species
UACAGGGGGUGCGAGCGUUUGUCCGGAAUCACUGGGCGUAAAGGGCGCGUAGGCGGCUUGAUAAGCGUGCGGUGAAAGCCCGGGGCUCAACCCCGGGUCGGCCGUGCGAACUGUCGAGCUGGAGCACUGUAGAGGCAGGUGGAAUUCCGGGUGUAGCGGUGGAAUGCGUAGAGAUCCGGAAGAACACCGGUGGCGAAGGCGGCCUGCUGGGCAGUGGCUGACGCUGAGGCGCGACAGCGUGGGGAGGCAAACAGG